rnacentral:rRNA from 1 species
UACGGAGGGUGCGAGCGUUAAUCGGAAUUACUGGGCGUAAAGCGUGCGUAGGCGGUUCGUUAAGUUCGUUGUGAAAGCCCCGGGCUCAACCUGGGAAUGGCAAUGGAAACUGGCGGACUGGAGUAUGGCAGAGGGGGGUGGAAUUCCGCGUGUAGCAGUGAAAUGCGUAGAGAUGCGGAGGAACACCGAUGGCGAAGGCAGCCCCCUGGGCCAAUACUGACGCUCAGGCACGAAAGCGUGGGGAGCAAACAGG